rnacentral:misc_RNA from 1 species
GCUUGAAUUAAUAUUUUUCCAGAUGUUCAUGGUCAUUCCUGACAUUUUAAAUUUUGUGAAAGCUUUACUACUUUUUGAAAGAGUGAUUAAUUCUCUUGGUGCUAGAUGUCCAGGUUGAAUAAAAUUGGCUAAAAAAAGUUAUUUUCUUUAUCUGUUUACCAAAAAUGAAAAACAAAAAAGAAUAUUCAUUUUCAAAGGCCACAAAAUACUUGUUUGAUAGACAGAGAAAUACCUGUGAAAGUAAAACUGAG